UACGAAGGGGGCUAGCGUUGCUCGGAAUCACUGGGCGUAAAGGGUGCGUAGGCGGGUCUUUAAGUCGGUGGUGAAAUCCUGGAGCUCAACUCCAGAACUGCCUUCGAUACUGAGAGUCUCGAGUCCGGGAGAGGUGAGUGGAACUGCGAGUGUAGAGGUGAAAUUCGUAGAUAUUCGCAAGAACACCAGUGGCGAAGGCGGCUCACUGGCCCGGUACUGACGCUGAGGUGCGAAAGCGUGGGGAGCAAACAGG
rnacentral:rRNA from 1 species